AUCGCUUCUCGGCCUUUUGGUUAAGAUCAAGUGUAGAUGAUUUGACUCGAAUUUGAAUGUUGGCGUGACUCAGGAAGUGUUAAAUCUCUCUAUAUUUUACUUAAAACAGAAGUAAGGGUUAAUUUUAUUUUUUUAUUUUCAUACUUACCUCGGUGGAUGAAGCAUCAGACCAAAGCUCCUUCUGUCCACCACCGUCU